rnacentral:rRNA from 1 species
UACGUAGGGAGCAAGCGUUGUUCGGAUUUACUGGGCGUAAAGGGCGCGUAGGCGGCGCGGUAAGUCACUUGUGAAAUCUCUGAGCUUAACUCAGAACGGCCAAGUGAUACUGCAGUGCUAGAGUGCAGAAAGGGCAAUCGGAAUUCUUGGUGUAGCGGCGAAAUGCGUAGAUAUCAAGAGGAACACCUGAGGCGAAGGCGGGUUGCUAGGCUGACACUGACGCUGAGGCGCGAAAGCCAGGGGAGCAAACGGG